rnacentral:lncRNA from 1 species
GGAAUUGGCAACCAGAGGCCUGGACCUUGGGCCGUCCAACCUGGGCGGAGAGGCAGAAGUUCCUAAACUUCGAGGGACAGACUCAGCGUCCUCAGCUGGAGAGGAAUGAGGUUGGUUUUGCACCUCUCUUCUUUGGUGUAGCCAGUGAAGAUUAAAACCAUGGUCCUCAGAAAGACGCUUUGGAUGAUAUUUCCAAGACAUAGCUGUGAGCCCAGAUGGCUUGAAGAUAAUACCAUCUGGAUGUUAUUCCAAACAGGAAGAAGACAGAGCUGCUCUCUCCCAAAUUCCCUUUAUGUGAAACCCCAGAAAGGACUCCGUGACUACGAUCUCCCUCCUUGGCUCCUCACGUGUGCAGCAAAUGGGCGCUGUGACUUCAUGCCUGAGGAGACUCCAAGAGAAACUUUCAACCAAGACCCCUGUAGGGAGAGGAAGAGGCCACUGAGGUGGGACAGUGACUGCACUGGAGAGGAGUGAGGGGUCGGGAAGCCCCAGCUGCAGCCUGCCUUCAUGAGAUACUGGAGCUUAUCCUGAGGGAAGGAGCCAGCCUGAGACAUCAGGACUGGGCCACUCAGAGACAAAUGAGAACACGGCCUGGGAUACCGUGCUGUGGGGGUGAAGAAUAAAUGUACAAUGCAGAAAUGCAAUUCCCCUACCACCA